UGGGGAAUAUUGCACAAUGGGCGCAAGCCUGAUGCAGCCAUGCCGCGUGUGUGAAGAAGGCCUUCGGGUUGUAAAGCACUUUCAGCGAGGAGGAAGGUGGUGAGCUUAAUACGCUCAUCAAUUGACGUUACUCGCAGAAGAAGCACCGGCUAACUCCGUGCCAGCAGCCGCGGUAAUACGGAGGGUGCAAGCGUUAAUCGGAAUUACUGGGCGUAAAGCGCACGCAGGCGGUUUGUUAAGUCAGAUGUGAAAUCCCCGGGCUCAACCUGGGAACUGCAUUUGAAACUGGCAAGCUAGAGUCUCGUAGAGGGGGGUAGAAUUCCAGGUGUAGCGGUGAAAUGCGUAGAGAUCUGGAGGAAUACCGGUGGCGAAGGCGGCCCCCUGGACGAAGACUGACGCUCAGGUGCGAAAGCGUGGGGCAGCAAACAGGAUUAGAUACCCUGGUAGUCCACGCUGUAAAACGAUGUCGAUUUUGGAGGUUGUGCCCCUUGAGGCGUGGCUUCCGGAGCUAACGCGUUAAAUCGACCGCCU
rnacentral:rRNA from 1 species